ensembl:lncRNA
UGCAGGUGUAGAAGCACGGUGGCUAGGAAAAACUCCCUAGAAAGGCCAAAACCUAGGAAGAAACCUAGAGAGCAACCAGGCUAUGAGGGGUGGCUAGGAAAAACUCCCUAGAAAGGACAAAACCUAGGAAGAAACCUAGAGAGCAACCAGGCUAUGAGGCGUGGCCAGUCCUCUUCUGGCUGUGCCGGGUAGAGAGGAACCAGGCUAUGUGGCGUGGCCAGUCCUCUUCUGGCUGUGCCGGGUAGAGAGGAACCAGGCUAUGUGGCGUGGCCAGUCCUCUUCUGGCUGUGCCGGGUGGAGAUUAUAAACCUAGAGAGGAACCAGGCUAUGUGGGGUGGCCAGUCCUCUUCUGGCUGUGCCGGGUGGAGAUUAUAAACCUAAAGAGGAACCAGGCUAUGUGGGGUGGCCAGUCCUCUUCUGGCAGUGCCGGGUGGAGAUUAUAAACCUAGAGAGGAACCAGGCUAUGUGGGGUGGCCAGUCCUCUUCUGGCUGUGCCGGGUAGAGAUUAUAACAGAACAUGGCCAAGAUGUUCAAUUGUUCAAAUGUAAUAAUAAUAAUAAUCACAGUAGUUGUCGAGGGUGCAGCAAGGUGUAUGUAAACUUCCAACUUCAACUGUAUACAUGACUAGAAUCCAGUAGAUACAUACAGGCCUUGGCAGGGUUACUGAUCACACAAACCUACAUCACUACUGUCACAACUAUAUCAUGAGUCCAAGCCCCUCCAUUACGCAGGAGACCCUGUGACACACAGAGAUGUGACCCUUAAACAAUCCUAACAGGUCAGAGUGUAGGUUACACCGCUCUGGAAGGGUGUGUGUGUGUGUGUGUUCGUAUGCUGGGUAGAUUUCACAUGUACUAAAAUUAGAAUCUCCACAUAUUUAGAGGAAGCCUGACAGUACUAGAGGUAUCUUCUUUACAUGACGUGUGAGACGGAGAGAGAGACCGAGAGAGAGUUAGUCUACAGACUGAUCAAUACCCAGUUAGUCUACAGACUGAUCAAUACCUAGUUAGUCUACAGACUGAUCAAUACGUAGUUAGUCUACAGACUGAUCAAUACCUAGUUAGUCUACAGACUGAUCAAUACCUAGUUAGUCUACAGACUAAUCAAUACCUAGUUAGUCUACAGACUGAUCAAUACCUAGUUUGUCUACAGACGGAUCAAUA